rnacentral:rRNA from 1 species
GCUUAGCCGCAAACUUUUAAUUACACUCACAACGCCAGGGUACUACGAGCAAAGCUUAAAACCCAAGGGACUUGACGGUACCCCAUAUCCCCCUAGAGGAGCCUGUCCUAUAAUCGAUAAUCCCCGUUUAACCUCACCAUUUUUAGCCAUAUCAGUCUGUAUACCUCCGUCGCCAAUUUACCACGUGAGCGUCUAAUAGUAAGUGAAAUGUCUCAUUACUCGAUCAUACGUCAGGUCAAGGUGCAGCAAAUAAAAUGGGAAGAGAUGGGCUACACUCUCUAAUUUAGAACAUACGGAAAACUCGUCAUGAAAAGAGUUUGAAGGCGGAUUUAGUAGUAAGAGAGGCUCAGAGAACCCCUCUAAAACCGGCACUGGGGUGUGUACACACCGCCCGUCACCCUCUUCGCAGCCCUUAAAUAGUGUUUUACAACCCCAUGCAUAGUAGAAGAGGCAAGUCGUAACAUGGUAAGUAUACCGGAAGGUGUGCUUGGAAA